AGGGUUGAAUUCCACGUAGCAGUGAAAGGGUAGAUAGGGGAGGAAUCCGAUGGGAAGGCAGCCCCCUGGGAUAAUAUGACGUCAGACAGAAAGCGUGGGAGCAAACAGGAUUAGAUCCCUGGUAGUCCACGCCCUAAACGAUGUCAAAUAGCUGUUGGGGCCGUUAGGCUUAGUAGCGCAGCUAACGCGUGAAGUUGACCGCCUGGGGAGUACGGUCGCAAGAUUAAAACUCAAAGGAAUUGACGGGGACCCGCACAAGCGGUGGAUGAUGUGGAUUAAUUCGAUGCAACGCGAAAAACCUUACCUACCCUUGACAUGUCUGGAAAGCCGAAGAGAUUUGGCCGUGCUCGCAAGAGAACCGGAACACAGGUGCUGCAUGGCUGUCGUCAGCUCGUGUCGUGAGAUGUUGGGUUAAGUCCCGCAACGAGCGCAACCCUUGUCAUUAGUUGCUACGCAAGAGCACUCUAAUGAGACUGCCGGUGACAAACCGGAGGAAGGUGGGGAUGACGUCAAGUCCUCAUGGCCCUUAUGGGUAGGGCUUCACACGUCAUACAAUGGUCGGGACAGAGGGUCGCCAACCCGCGAGGGGGAGCCAAUCUCAGAAACCCGAUCGUAGUCCGGAUCGCAGUCUGCAACUCGACUGCGUGAAGUCGGAAUCGCUAGUAAUCGCGGAUCAGAAUGUCGCGGUGAAUACGUUCCCGGGUCUUGUACACACCGCCCGUCACACCAUGGGAGUGGGUUUCACCAGAAGUAGGUAGCCUACCCGUAAGGAGGGCGCUACCACGGUGGGAUCAUGACGGGUAUUCACUUAACCCU
rnacentral:rRNA from 1 species